rnacentral:rRNA from 1 species
CAUACAUAUCAAAUCGCCCUGAAUGUACCCAAUGUCAUCUGAUUUUGGAAGCUAAGAAUUGAGCAUGGAUACUACUCAUAUGUGAGACUACCUGGGAAUAUAAGGUGUUAUAGGCAUGG